CAAUUAAUUUCUUCCUGACACUGAUGGCCAAACCAAACUCUUUACGAGGAAGAAUCUUGUUUCGGCAUCCUCUUCCGCAAUGCCACUUGGUGAAGAUCCAUUGAAAUUGUUAUCAUUGGCUUUGAUCAGAAUUGCACACAUGAAGAAAUUUGGGAUUAUUUCCUGCUUUACCAUAUCCCAUGCUUUCUUCAGGAUAUUCAUUUCAUUGGAGUUUUCACUGGAUUCUGGGCAGGUUUGAAGCUCCUCCGAUCCUCAAAGCCAGCUUACUGAAUGAAGGCAGCAGACCACGUGAUGCUAACCCCGGAAGGUGGCCAGGCCAGCCAGAGGCAGCUUACACGAGCCACAGGCCUGGGGCCUGCCAGAAAAUGGGGGGAUCUGAGAGACCUGCCCCAGGAAGGAGAACUGACACAAAACACUCCCGACUCCAUAAGAUGCCUGCCUGGCAUGAAAUCUAUCAAAACGUACCUGCACAGCUGCCCAAACACUUCUGCGAAAACCGUGGCUGGACCUGGAGCAGUAAAUCGGCAGCAAUUGAAACCAGGAACUCUCCACUGUGUCCGAAGCAAACACCUUCCGGUAAAAGAAAGCACACAGUAAAUUACCUGCUACAUUGGGUCCUAAGCAGAUCCUCUGCAAAAAUUCACUAAACUGCAACCUACCUGCUCCACAGGAUCCUCAGAAGGAUCACUUAACUGGAAGCAGUCACAAUCCACUUCACCAGACCACCAGAACACUCAAAUGUAAGAAACCUGUGAGGAAGCGGGUAAGUGUGCCAGCCUGCUAGUAAGAUUGAGACUACGUGGCUUCAAGAUUAACCCCCCCCCCCAACUUCCUAGAUUAUUUCUAGCAAAUGUACAUUCUCUGGAGAACAAGAUGGACAAAGUAAGAUCACUGCUCGGCUUCCAGUGUGAACUGCGGGACUGUUGCGCACUCUGCUUCACAGAAACUUGGCUCAACCCAUCCAUUCCCGACUACGCACUUCAGGCUGAUGGUUUUUCUAUCUAUCGUAUGGACCGUACAGCGUCCUCAGGUAAGACAAAGGGUGGAUGGUUUGCUUUAUAAUCAACAACUUGCGGUGCAUGGACAUUGCAAUCCUAAGCAGCCAUUGGUCCCCAAAACCAUGAAUUCCUCACCAUCAAAUGCCACCCUUUCUAUCCACCACAGGAAUUUACCAUUGCUAUACUAACUGCUGUAUACAAACCGUCAGAAGCAGAGGUUGAAGAAGCUCCACCACUAACACCCUGGAGACGGAACGCCUGAAGCCCUAUAACUGGUGACCUCAAUCAAGCCAAUCUAAGGAAGGUGUUGCCCAAGUAUCACCAGAUCAUUACCUGCCCCACCAGGGGCCCAAACAUUUUAGACCACUGUACACCAUCAUGAAAGAUGCCUAUUGUUCCACCUACCUCCCUCAUUUUGGGAACUCCGACCACAAUACCAAUGUUUCUUCUCCCGGCUUAUAGGCAAAAGCUAAAGCAGGAGAUCCCCUCACAAAUACUAGUCCAGUGUUGGUCGGAGGAGGCAAAGAAUCAACUCCGGUACUGUCUGGAAUCGGCUGAUUGGGCCGUGUUGAAACAGUCCAGUGGUACCUUGGACGAGUAUACCACCACCAUCACAGACUUUAUCAGCAAGUGUGCAUACCGAGGAAGUCAAUCUGGGUGUUCCCCAAAGAACCUGCUAAAAACCAGGCAUGAAGUCUUCAGAUCCGGAGAUCCACUCAAAUAUAAGGAAUCCAAGAAUGACCUUCGCAGAACCAUUAAGACAUCCAAGAACCAAUACUGAUCCAAACUAGAGACCCAGACAGACACCCCGCGACUAUGGCAAGGACUGAGUGACAUCACAAGUUCUAAAAAGAGACAGUGCAAGAUAGCAGACGAUGACACAUCCCUCCCAAAUCGUCUCAACGCCUUCUAUGCUUGCUUUGAGCAGAAUUUUGCUGGAGAGGUAACACCUACUCCGACAAGUCGUGAUGAACCUAUCCCAACAGUCACUGCAUCAGAGGUCAGAUCAGUUUUCCUUCGUGUGAAUUCAAGGAAAGUGAAGGGACUAGAAGGAGUACCAGGCUGUGCACACAGGGCAUGUGCGGAUCAAUUAGCAGAGGUCUUCUCGGACAUCUUCAAACUCUCCUUGCUGCAGGCCACUGUCCCUGCCUGUUUCAAGAGGGCCAACACCAUCCUUGUGCCUAAGAAGGCUCAUACAGCAUGUCUCAAUGACUACCGCCCAAUGGCCCUAACUUCAGUGGUCAUGAAGUGCUUGGAAAGGUUGGUCAUGGCAUUAAUCAACUCCAGCCUCCCCACUACUCUUGACUCACUCCAAUUUACGUAUCAGACAAACAGAUCCACGUCAGAUGCCAUAUCACUUGCCUUUCAUUCCUCCUUAGAACACCUUGACACCGAAAACAGCUACGUAAGAAUCCUACUUAUUGAAUACAGUUCAGCCUUCAACACUAUUAUUCCUCUCCGCACUGAUUGCUUAACUUAGUGAUCUCAGACUAAGCCCACUCUCUGCAAUUAGGUCCUCAGUUUCCUGACCCACAGACCACAAUCAGUGAAGCUUGGGGACAAUAUUUCAUCCUCACUAACACUCAACACUGGAGCCCCCCAGGGAUGUGCACUCAGCCCCCCCCCCCCCCCCCCCCCCCCCACUGUACUCACUGUAUAUCCAUCAUUGCAUCACCAAAUACUAGACUAGUGCCAUUUACAAGUUCGCUGAUGACACCACCAUAGUCAGUCAAACCUCAAAUGACGACGAAACAGACCACAGAUGGGAGGAGGAAGACCUGGAAAAAUUGUGCACCAAGAACAACCUCGCUCUCAAUGCUAGCAAAACUAAGAAAUCAUUAUUGACUUUCGGCAGAAAGUUACUCAUGCCCCCCUACACAUUAAUAGCACAGAAGUGGAACAAGUAGAGAGUGGUUAUACACAAGCUUUCUUGGACUCUUCAUGUGGACACAGCUGAGGAAAUUUGGCAUGAUGGCAAAUACCCUUGUCAACUCUUAUAGGUGUGCCAUCGUGAGUAUUCCAUCUGGAUGUAUCACUACCUGUUAUGGCAACGGUAUCAUUCAAGAUCAGAGACAGUUACAGAGAGUGGUGAACUCGGCCGGGACAAUAACAAAGGCCAACUUCCCAUCCAUAGAAUCCAUCUACCAGGCCCGCUGUCAAGGAAAGGCCACUAGCAUUCUCAACGAGCCAUCCCACCCUGGCAACCUCUACCACCAGGGAGAAGGUACAGAAGCCUGAACACAUGCACCAGCCGGUGUCCUAACAGUUUCUACCCUACUGUUGUUAGAAUACGGAAUGGACUCACAAACUCUUAACAUUCACCUGUACCUGUGUUUUUGAUUUUUGCCACUGUUUAUCUAUGCUGCUUAACUCUGAGAUCUGCCUGUAUUGCUCGCAAGACAAAGCUUUUCACUGUGCCUCGGUAUGUGACAAUAAAUUGAAUUGAACUGAAUUCAAUUCAAUUCUAUGAGCAGUGGUGGGCCCAAGGAUCGAUGAUGGGUCCACUGUUAUUUGUCAUUUAUAUAAAUAAUUUGAAUGAAAAGAUAGGAGGUAUGGUUAGUAAAUUUGCAGG